GUUAGUAAAAUGUAGAUAAUUUUAAAUAAAGUUAAAGUUAAAAUAUGUGACUGUGUUAUAAAUAUGUGUUUGUUGUGUUUUUUUUAUAAAAUUUAAAACUAACUUAAAUUUUAGUUUGAAAGUCCAGUAGUUUUGUAGUUACUAACAAACACUUUAUGGUUUUAAAAACUUUGUUCCUGUUCCGGAAAUUAUUAGUAGAGAAGAUAUGAGGAGUGGAAUAGCAAAACCAGAUAAUUCACUUUUUUUUUUAAAAAAAAGAUAAUUUUUUUUUGCAUUAUUAAUAUUCCUAAAUCUUUACAAAUAAAAAUUGAAAUUUAAAAGCCACUAUCUUAAUAACAUUUUACCUCCCUUAAAUUAAUUAGUCCGUGCAAAACCAUUUAAAAAAAUUAUUUUCAAUGCAAAACAAGACAAAAAUUAUAUCUAAUCAACAUUCUGUUUUAAAAAAGUUUUAAAAAACUAGAAGACGCUAUUUAAAAAAAAAAUCACAUACAAAAAAACUCACUAAAAUUAAAAAAGCAAUAUUUAAACAGUUACAAACGAAUUUUAACUUCAUCAAUCCUUUAAAAGAAUCAAUAAUUUUUUUUAUAUAUUUUUAAAUGAUCUGAAUAAUUUUGUUGUUUUUAUUUAGUUGAAUGAUGAAAUUGUUUAUACAAAAGAUUGGCGUUUUAACUUUUAUUUUUAAGUUGUUAUUUACUUGUUAACUGUUGUCUGUCGUUAACAAAGCAAGUAAUAAAAUGCAUAUAAUGACAACAGCUUUAUCUUUAGAAUUGUUUGCAAACUUUUGGUUUGGAUACAAAAGACCAAGUGAAAAUGAUACUGGAAAGCUUAAUUCAAUUAAAAAAUCACGUCAUAGAAGACAGAAAAAUAUCAAUCUGUUUUCAAGAACUUGGCUUUCAUAACAAAUGUGAGAGACUGUUUACCGUUUGACUCCUGUCCGAAUCUAACCUAGUGGGUUCAAAAAGAAAGGACCGCGCUAGAAACAUGAGGGGGUUAAAAGGAUCAGCCCUUUUUGAAUUAAAAGUCGAAGUCGUAACCAGCUCGUAUGAAAGGAUUUCUCGACGUGAAAUAGUUAGCUUUAUUCAACAACGCCAAGAAACAGAGCUCGCUCAAGAAACAGAGGAGAAAGAGAAAAAUGAAGAAAUAUUCUGUUGAACAA